AUUGAACGCUGGCGGCAUGCUUUACACAUGCAAGUCGAACGGUAACAGGUUAAGCUGACGAGUGGCGAACGGGUGAGUAAUGCAUCGGAACGUGCCCGGUCGUGGGGGAUAACGCAGCGAAAGCUGCGCUAAUACCGCAUACGAUCUGAGGAUGAAAGCGGGGGACCGUAAGGCCUCGCGCGAUCGGAGCGGCCGACGUCAGAUUAGGUAGUUGGUGGGGUAAAGGCUCACCAAGCCGACGAUCUGUAGCUGGUCUGAGAGGACGACCAGCCACACUGGGACUGAGACACGGCCCAGACUCCUACGGGAGGCAGCAGUGGGGAAUUUUGGACAAUGGGCGCAAGCCUGGUCCAGCAAUGCCGCGUGCAGGAAGAAGGCCUUCGGGUUGUAAACUGCUUUUGUACGGAGCGAAAAGGCUCUCUCUAAUACGGAGGGCUCAUGACGGUACCGUAAGAAUAAGCACCGGCUAACUACGUGCCAGCCGCCGCCGUAA
rnacentral:rRNA from 1 species